CCUCCCGCCCCAGAUUUUGUAACCAAAAAAAUAAAAAGGCUACAAAUUUCCUGGAAAAAAGAAUUAUUGAUUUUCUCAUAUCAUGCUCAUAACAAUAUUGAAAUUCUUUUACAUGCUUGUAUAUGAAUUACAGAAUUAGUGUUCUUGGCUGUCUGGCAGCAAUCUCUCGGAACCAACCCAGCCAAUGGAUCAGCAACUGAGAAUGAUGUUAUAUGGUUGAGCCUGAGGGAUCUUGGCCAUCGGUCACCCUCAGGUCAUGGGGUUUUUGUCAUGGUCCAUUUUUCUUGAACAGAAAAUUACGUGUUUG
rnacentral:lncRNA from 1 species